UACGUAGGGGGCUAGCGUUGUCCGGAAUCAUUGGGCGUAAAGCGCGUGUAGGCGGUCCGGCAAGUCCGCUGUGAAAGUCGGGGGCUCAACCCUCGAAUGCCGGUGGAUACUGUCGGGCUAGAGUACUGAAGAGGCGAGUGGAAUUCCUGGUGUAGCGGUGAAAUGCGUAGAUAUUGGGAGGAACACCAGUGGCGAAGGCGGCUCACUGGACCGGAACUGACGCUGAGGCGCGAAAGUGUGGGGAGCGAACAGG
rnacentral:rRNA from 1 species